GGAUCAGUUAUUCUCAGAGCUUCAGUCAUUCCUGAAGGUGCUGGACACGGAGUGUUUAAGCUGUGUUGCUGAGUCAAAGAAGGAAUCUGUGGCAGAGUUGCUUCAAGAGCUGAACGGAAGUCCGUGUGCACAGCAAACUGGAUUCAUGCCAGCUGAGGAUGCAGAUUACAUGUUCAUGAGUUGUGUUACUCUGACAGAGAAUCGCUCGGAAAUGCAGCUCCCCACAAACGCAAGCGAGCUGCCGAAUGUUCUGGCGAUCAUCGAAGACACAGAAGAUGUUUCACCCUGCCCCCCACUAUUGGAUGAUUUCCAAACGAAAGUGG